rnacentral:rRNA from 1 species
UACGGAAGGCAGCAGGUGGGGAAUAUUGCACAACUGGGCGCAAGCCUGAUGCAGCCGAUGCCGCGUGUAUGAAGAAGGCCUUCGGGUUGUAAAGUACUUUCAGUCGUGAGGAAGGUGUUAAGGUUAAUAACCUUAGCAAUUGACGUUAGCGACAGAAGAAGCACCGGCUAACUCCGUGCCAGCAGCCGCGGUAAUACGGAGGGUGCGAGCGUUAAUCGGAAUUACUGGGCGUAAAGGGCACGCAGGCGGUUAAUUAAGUUGGAUGUGAAAUCCCCGGGCUUAACCUGGGAAUGGCAUUCAAGACUGGUUAGCUAGAGUCUUGUAGGAGGGGGUAGAAUUCCAUGUGUAGCGGUGAAAUGCGUAGAGAUGUGGAGGAAUACCGGUGGCGAAGGCGGCCCCUGGACAAAGACUGACGCUCAUGUGCGAAAGCGUGGGGA